ACACAAUAUCACACACCUAUACCCCCCCCCUCCAAAAAAAAAAAAUUUGACCCCCAAAAAAUUACCCUCAUUUCAAGUAAAAGAGCCCUAAAUUUUCAUAAAAAAAAAGCAAAAAAACACCCAAAAAACACCAAAUUUUCUUACUCCCAAAAAAAUUUUUUUUUUUACUUUUUUAUAAAAAAAAAACGUUAUUAAAAACACCCAAAAAAACAAAAAAUUCCAAAAAAAAAAAAAUAAAAAAACCGGGAGAACAGGCAGAGAAAGAAUUCUGUGGGAUUUAAGAGAAAAAAAAAAAUCAAUUUUUACUUUAAAAAAUGAAACAACCUACAGCUCCUGAUUUAUAUCCAGAAUUACCUAUAGAAGAUGGACAAAAUUAUAGAC
rnacentral:lncRNA from 1 species